AAUGGUUAUCUGUAUAAAAAGUAUAUAUUUAGCUGUUAUACUAUGAAACUAUAACAAGUCUUUACUAUUUUGUGUUAAAAUAAGCUUAAAAAAUCAUAUUGCCCAGUAAUGCCCACUAUUACUCAUUUCUGGGAGUAUUGCCCAGCCCGGGAAAACCCGGGUUUUCCCGCCCGGGAAUUCCCGGGUGGGUAAUACUUUGCCAACCCUGUCCCAAACUGACAUAAAAAGGGUUAGGGUAGGCACUAAAAAUUAGGGUAGGUCAGGGGUUUCAUUAUCUUUCAUGUUGACUGGUACUUUCCACAUUUCAAGGUGGUACUUUUCAGUUUUUUCCAUGAAUAUCUUAUGUAAAAAUUUCUACAUUUAGGCGGUACUUGUCAAUAGCAUAGGAGAGUAAAAGUACUGGGUACCGCCUCCUAAUGCAUGGCCUGGUAGGAAGGG
rnacentral:lncRNA from 1 species